rnacentral:rRNA from 1 species
UAGCGGUUAUACAGUUAUGAAUUUUAAAUCUUUUUGGUUUAAUAUUAAACUUGAUUUAGAAGUUUUAAUUUGUAUUUUAUUAAGUGAAAUUAUUAACUUACAUUUAAAUAGUUUUUUUAUAUAUGAUAACUUGAGUUUAGACUAGGAUUAGAUACCCUAUUAUUUCAAGUUGUAAAUUUAUACCUAAUUAUUAUUAGUUAUGUUCUUUAAAUUUAAAGGAUUUGGCGGUAGGAUACCCUUUCAGAGGAACCUGUCCUGUAAUUGAUAAUCCACACUUAAUUUUACUUUAAUUUUUGCUUAUAUACCUCUAUCUUGAAUGUCUUAAAAGGGUUUUAUUUUCUAAAUUUUUUUUAAAAAAAAUGUUAGGUCAAGGUUUAGUAAUAUUAAAGGAGAGAUGGGUUACAUUAUUUAUAUAUGGGGAUUAUUAUUUCAAAUAAUAUUUAAUUUGGAUUUGAUAGUAAAAUUUUUUUUAAAAAUUUUGAUUUAGGCUAUGACCUAUGCACACAUCGCCCGUCGCUCUCAUUUUUAUUGAGAUAAGUCU